GACGUAGGGGACGAGCGUUGUUCGGAAUUACUGGGCGUAAAGCGCACGUAGGCGGAUCGAUCAGUCAGGGGUGAAAUCCCAGAGCUCAACUCUGGAACUGCCUUUGAUACUGUCGAUCUAGAGUAUGGAAGAGGUGAGUGGAAUUCCGAGUGUAGAGGUGAAAUUCGUAGAUAUUCGGAGGAACACCAGUGGCGAAGGCGGCUCACUGGUCCAUUACUGACGCUGAGGUGCGAAAGCGUGGGGAGCAAACAGG
rnacentral:rRNA from 1 species